GCACUCCUUCGGGGCAGGGUGAGAUUCCCUACCGGCGGUAUAGUCCGUGAACCAAUUAAGUUUGGUUGAUCCGGUGAAAUUCCGGUACCGACAGUUAUAGUCUGGAUGGGAGAAGGGGCUU
rnacentral:ncRNA from 2 species